GAAAACAUGGUAUGUUUGAGUUGAAAAUAUUUUGUAAAUAAAUCUUAUGAAGCUAUUUCUAUCUAGAUUAUUUCUGCACCAGCUACCAAUCGCUCUACUUUAUUUAUACAAGUAGAAUUUCUACUAAAAAUAACUUGAUCUCCAUAGGAUCUUAAUGGGAAUGGUGAGAAGAUAUAUUAGUGAAACUAUAUCUUGACUAAAGUAAAGAAGAGAUGUGUAAUGCAUGCAUAAAGUUUGAAUCAAAACUUUAGAGUCUUCGAGUUUGAAGUUUCAAGAAAUAGCAUUAAUUUUUAAAUGAAACAGUACAACAUCACAAUUCUUUGUGAGAGAAGCAAGUCUUGAUAUUAAAGUGCAAAAGGUUGCGGAGUGUUAGUUUUUCAAAGAGUGUUAUUUGGUUUAAUUAAAAGCAUUACUGAAAUUUAUUGUUAUGAUGAACUGUCAUCAAGUUUUAAGCCUAUGGGUGGAACAUAAACAUUAGUGUCGCAUGCAACAAAGUUCGAUUUGGUCGAUAAGUGGAAGAUCAUUUGAAGAGAGCUCUUAAUAGAGUAGCAUAACGAUUAUUUUAUUACAU
rnacentral:lncRNA from 1 species